GGGAAAUUUGAGGGUGGGUGACUGAAUCCCAGGUUUUGAAGCCUCAAGCCACCCGGGCUGGGUGAGGCACGGAGAUGGAGAGGCCCAGCCACAGGCUGAAUGGGUCUAGACUUGAAGAAGGCAGGAGAGAUACCCGGCAGGGAGGGAGCAGGACGUAGGCUCGAGACCCCGGCAGGGACAGCAGCAGGUCUAGGGGCCGGCAGACCUACGGACGAGGAAUGGGACCUAGGAUGGAGAGAGGUGGGAGAAGCAAGGGCGGGGCGGGACCGGAGGGCGUCGGCGGCCAAGCCAGGCUUAGGGCUGGCGGCCGAGCAGCCUCCCCAGGGUCCCCGACCCAGCCAGAACCAGAGCCCCAAGGGCGCUUAGAUAGCGCCGCGGCCGGAGGCGCGCAGAGUACUGGGCGGCCUCCCCAGGGAAUCCUCUGGUGACGAGGGCCUGCUUUGAGGCUGAGCGUUCCUAUUCAACAGCCGGGGCUGGGCGAUCGGGGUGGGAUGAGGAAACGUGCUUUCCCGAAGGAGAGCGUGAAGCGGCCGCCGCGUCCCGGGCUGGGUUCUCAGGCCCCGAUGUCAGCUGCCCAGACCCUGUCCCCCACCUCCCUGACAACGGUCAUCCCGCCGCUGUACGACCCCGGGUCCGGCCUCCGGAGAAAUGUCCCCGGGCAGAGGGCAGCUGGCUCCGCUCUGUCCCUCCGUACACCGCCUUGGAGGCGAUGGAAGGGGUGGGGGAGGAGGCCC
rnacentral:lncRNA from 1 species